rnacentral:lncRNA from 1 species
GAAAUCAAAGACCACAACAACCUCCAGGCUACCAACAACCACCCUACCAAUAGGAAAAGAAGCCUAACCUUGAAAAGAUGCUCUCAACGUUUAUAUCGGUGUCAAAAACUCGUUUUCAGAACACCGAGACAGCACUUAAAAAUCAACAAGCGUCGAACCAAGGGCUUGAAACUCAAAUAGGCCAGCUUUCCAAACUAAUCUCCG